AUUGAACGCUGGCGGCAGGCCUAACACAUGCAAGUCGAGCGGUAGAGAGGUGCUUGCAUCUCUUGAGAGCGGCGGACGGGUGAGUAAUGCCUAGGAAUCUGCCUGGUGGUGGGGGAUAACGUUCGGAAACGGACGCUAAUACCGCAUACGUCCUACGGGAGAAAGCGGGGGAUCUUCGGACCUCGCGCCAUUAGAUGAGCCUAGGUCGGAUUAGCUAGUUGGUGAGGUAAUGGCUCACCAAGGCGACGAUCCGUAACUGGUCUGAGAGGAUGAUCAGUCACACUGGAACUGAGACACGGUCCAGACUCCUACGGGAGGCAGCAGUGGGGAAUAUUGGACAAUGGGCGAAAGCCUGAUCCAGCCAUGCCGCGUGUGUGAAGAAGGUCUUCGGAUUGUAAAG
rnacentral:rRNA from 1 species